GAUGGCGUGCCUUUUGUAGAAUGAACCGGCGAGUUACGAUUUGAUGCAAGGUUAAGCAGUAAAUGUGGAGCCGUAGCGAAAGCGAGUCUGAAUAGGGCGUUUAGUAUUUGGUCGUAGACCCGAAACCAGGUGAUCUACCCUUGGUCAGGUUGAAGUUCAGGUAACACUGAAUGGAGGACCGAACCGACUUACGUUGAAAAGUGAGCGGAUGAACUGAGGGUAGCGGAGAAAUUCCAAUCGAACCUGGAGAUAGCUGGUUCUCUCCGAAAUAGCUUUAGGGCUAGCCUCAAGUGAUGAUUAUUGGAGGUAGAGCACUGUUUGGACGAGGGGCCCCUCUCGGGUUACCGAAUUCAGACAAACUCCGAAUGCCAAUUAAUUUAACUUGGGAGUCAGAACAUGGGUGAUAAGGUCCGUGUUCGAAAGGGAAACAGCCCAGACCACCAGCUAAGGUCCCAAAAUAUAUGUUAAGUGGAAAAGGAUGUGGCGUUGCCCAGACAACUAGGAUGUUGGCUUAGAAGCAGCCAUCAUUUAAAGAGUGCGUAAUAGCUCACUAGUCGAGUGACACUGCGCCGAAAAUGUACCGGGGCUAAACAUAUUACCGAAGCUGUGGAUUGUCCUUUGGACAAUGGUAGGAGAGCGUUCUAAGGGCGUUGAAGCAUGAUCGUAAGGACAUGUGGAGCGCUUAGAAGUGAGAAUGCCGGUGUGAGUAGCGAAAGACGGGUGAGAAUCCCGUCCACCGAUUGACUAAGGUUUCCAGAGGAAGGCUCGUCCGCUCUGGGUUAGUCGGGUCCUAAGCUGAGGCCGACAGGCGUAGGCGAUGGAUAACAGGUUGAUAUUCCUGUACCACCUAUAAUCGUUUUAAUCGAUGGGGGGACGCAGUAGGAUAGGCGAAGCGUGCGAUUGGAUUGCACGUCUAAGCAGUAAGGCUGAGUAUUAGGCAAAUCCGGUACUCGUUAAGGCUGAGCUGUGAUGGGGAGAAGACAUUGUGUCUUCGAGUCGUUGAUUUCACACUGCCGAGAAAAGCCUCUAGAUAGAAAAUAGGUGCCCGUACCGCAAACCGACACAGGUAGUCAAGAUGAGAAUUCUAAGGUGAGCGAGCGAACUCUCGUUAAGGAACUCGGCAAAAUGACCCCGUAACUUCGGGAGAAGGGGUGCUCUUUAGGGUUAACGCCCAGAAGAGCCGCAGUGAAUAGGCCCAAGCGACUGUUUAUCAAAAACACAGGUCUCUGCUAAACCGUAAGGUGAUGUAUAGGGGCUGACGCCUGCCCGGUGCUGGAAGGUUAAGAGGAGUGGUUAGCUUCUGCGAAGCUACGAAUCGAAGCCCCAGUAAACGGCGGCCGUAACUAUAACGGUCCUAAGGUAGCGAAAUUCCUUGUCGGGUAAGUUCCGACCCGCACGAAAGGCGUAACGAUUUGGGCACUGUCUCAACGAGAGACUCGGUGAAAUCAUAGUACCUGUGAAGAUGCAGGUUACCCGCGACAGGACGGAAAGACCCCGUGGAGCUUUACUGUAGCCUGAUAUUGAAAUUCGGCACAGCUUGUACAGGAUAGGUAGGAGCCUUUGAAACGUGAGCGCUAGCUUACGUGGAGGCGCUGGUGGGAUACUACCCUAGCUGUGUUGGCUUUCUAACCCGCACCACUUAUCGUGGUGGGAGACAGUGUCAGGCGGGCAGUUUGACUGGGGCGGUCGCCUCCUAAAAGGUAACGGAGGCGCUCAAAGGUUCCCUCAGAAUGGUUGGAAAUCAUUCAUAGAGUGUAAAGGCAUAAGGGAGCUUGACUGCGAGACCUACAAGUCGAGCAGGGUCGAAAGACGGACUUAGUGAUCCGGUGGUUCCGCAUGGAAGGGCCAUCGCUCAACGGAUAAAAGCUACCCCGGGGAUAACAGGCUUAUCUCCCCCAAGAGUUCACAUCGACGGGGAGGUUUGGCACCUCGAUGUCGGCUCAUCGCAUCCUGGGGCUGUAGUCGGUCCCAAGGGUUGGGCUGUUCGCCCAUUAAAGCGGUACGCGAGCUGGGUUCAGAACGUCGUGAGACAGUUCGGUCCCUAUCCGUCGUGGGCGUAGGAAAUUUGAGAGGAGCUGUCCUUAGUACGAGAGGACCGGGAUGGACAUACCUCUGGUGUACCAGUUGUCGUGCCAACGGCAUAGCUGGGUAGCUAUGUGUGGACGGGAUAAGUGCUGAAAGCAUCUAAGCAUGAAGCCCCCCUCAAGAUGAGAUUUCCCAACUUCGGUUAUAAGAUCCCUCAAAGAUGAUGAGGUUAAUAGGUUCGAGGUGGAAGCAUGGUGACAUGUGGAGCUGACGAAUACUAAUCGAUCGAAGACUUAAUCAA
rnacentral:rRNA from 1 species